GAUUAGAUUCACAGUAUCAACCAGACUCAGGCUGGAUCAGAAGCUCCUGAGCAAAACACCUUAACAACGCCAGGGCUUUUGUUUCUCUAGGCUCAAGAGGCAGCCUAGGGGGACUGUGCUUGCCUUGUGGGAGACCAGAAAAACCAAGGCUCACGUUGACCUCUCUUCUGGGUGAGAAGGGUGGAACUGAGCCCGUUCUCUCAGGCAGGGAGACAGAGAGGACUCAGGACUCAGCGAUGAGACCUGAGCACUCAGCAAAGCUAAAAUAGGAAACACACGAAGGCGGGCGCAGUUUCUAGUCGGGGUGGAGCAUUAGAAGAGGACUCAGAGCAUCAGAAGAGAGAUCGGGUAAAGCGGGGAGCGCAGAGGGAGAGGCUUCCUCCAGGAGCACGCCUGUGGGGCUGAGAGAACACAGGCCACAGAUUCCACCUCCCACCGCUGCGCUCAGCCAGCCCCGUCCUGAUGCCUGAGACCUACCUGCAUUCGGAGGGUGAAGCCCCCUAGUACGGCAGCUCAUCGGUAGCCUUGAAAAAUAACUGUCUGCAUUCCUGGUACUGGAUGGAGCAGAACAAAGCUGGAAUUCUUUCAAAACUUCGUUUCCAAAGAAUGAGCAUCAUUUGACGUGUCUAGUAGUUCCCUGGAAGACCCACUCAGAAAACAUGUCUUCAUUUCAACAGACUCAAAGUCCCCUCCAUAAAGAAGUCUCCCUCUAGGAUGGCCAUAAUAAAAAUAAAUACGUUUUAAAAUAACAAGUAUUGGCAGGGAUGUGGAGAAAUUGGAACCCUCACACAUGGCUGGUGGGAAGUGAAAAAUAGUGCAGACUCUAUGGAAAAAUUUAGCACUUUUCCAAAAUGUUAAAUAAUGUUACUAAGUGAGACAGCCAUUCUCUUGGAUACAUUCCCAAAGGAAGUGAAAACAGACCUCCACAUGAGAAUUUGUACAUGAAUCCUCAUAGCAGCAGGAUUCAUAGUAGCCGGAAAGUGGAAACGAGCAAUUGUCCAUCAACGUUAAACGGAGGAACACAACUCCACACAAUGCAAUAUUGUUUGGCUACAGAAGGAAAAGCACUGACUCUAACUGCAGCGUGGAAGAACCUUACAAACGUGCUGACUGAAAGAAACCAGGCACAAGGACUGCAUGUUGUAGGAUUCCAUUUACACAAAACGGGUGAAUCCAUAGAAACCGAAGGCAUGGGAGUGGUUUCCAGGGCUGGGGGAGGGGAACUGGGAGAGACUGCCUAACUGGGAUGGAGAGUCAUUUUGGGGAGGGAUGAAAACAUUAUGAAAUUAGAGAGUAGUGAUGGUUGUGCAACCUUGCGAGUGUGAGAAAGCCAUUACAUUUUACACUUUUAAAUGGUAAAUUUCUUGCUAUGUGAAUCCUAUCUUAAAAUUUUUCAUCACUUAGCAAAAGUAUAAGGAGGACUUUGCUGUGUUUUUUUUUUUUU
ensembl:lncRNA